rfam:Apaloderma vittatum contig48623, whole genome shotgun sequence.
GCAGAUUUAGCUCAGUCGGUUAGAGUGUGGAGCUGGUAACACCAAGGUCAUGGGUUCAAUCC